GUAGUUAGCCGGGGCUUCCUCCUUGGCUACCGUCACUUUCUUCGUCACCAAGGACAGAGGUUUACAAUCCGAAGACCUUCUUCCCUCACGCGGCGUUGCUGGGUCAGGCUUGCGCCCAUUGCCCAAUAUUCCCCACUGCUGCCUCCCGUAGGAGUCUGGACCGUGUCUCAGUUCCAGUGUGGCCGAUCAGCCUCUCAGCUCGGCUACCCAUCGUUGGCUAGGUGGGCCGUUACCCCGCCUACUACCUAAUGGGACGCGAACCCCUCCUUCUGCGGAUUGCUCCUUUGACCCCUGAGCCAUGCGACUCUGUGGUCUUAUGCGGUAUUAGCACUUGUUUCCAGGUGUUAUCCCCCUCAAAAGGGCAGGUUGUUCACGCGUUACUCACCCGUUCGCCACUAGCUAUAAAUCCGAAAACCUAUAGCCCGUUCGACUUGCAUGUGUUAGGCACGCCGCCAGCGUCGUCUGAGCACGANACAACUACUGA
rnacentral:rRNA from 1 species